rfam:Medicago truncatula strain A17 chromosome 5, whole genome shotgun sequence.
AGCCGCCUGAUGAUCACAUAGCAAACUAUUCUUUCGCCUUUUACUAAAGAAUACCGUGUGAGCGUCACAAUUUGUGGCAUACGCUAGUUUUUGGAAAGAGUCAUCUUCAUUGAGGGCU